GGAGUUCUUUCAGGAUGUGUUCCGGAAAAAGUAAGUCAACUUUGGUGACAUAGGUAGCCAAAUCAAUUAUCUUAAGCCUUUUUCACAUAUCACAACUCGGGAUGUUACAAUAAAGGUAUAGAUUAUUUUAGAAUUUAGAGAUAACCUUCUGGGUUUUUGUUUCCAUAAUUUGGUUUUAGAUCAAUUCUUCAAAGCUGCACCUUUGGGCUAUAUAGUUUACAAAUCAUGGUUCUUCUUUUAAUUUUUUUCAGCAUCUCCGAACAUAAUAUGAUGUCUUGGUAUCGGUUUCGUCCCAAAAGGUUCGAGAUUUUUUGAUUACCAAUUAUUAUAAAUAGCUGUAAAGAUCAUGACUCAUGAGACAUGUUAACUAUGAACCAGUAAUAAUAAUAUUAGAUAACAAAAUCUUGCUUUAGUUAGGAAUCUAUGAACAAGUUUUGUCUUUUUCCAUCUACAUUGGAGUUCCCAUGAUACAAAGAUAUUUUUAUGCUUGGUUAAUUCUUAUUUUUUUUAAUCUGAAUGUUUUCAUGCAUUAGCUGCAAGUUGUAGCAUAGGUUUCUUUACACCAGAUGGCGUUUAGAGUAGUAUGUCAGCUAAAAAAAUUGGUAGUGAGCUUUACACCAGUUCCUAGGUGUAACCUAAAUCAAUAUCUUCUUUGCAUAAUUCAUUAAGUCUUUUAAAGUGGCAGAAAUAUAAAGAAAAGUUGAUGAUGUGGGUCCCAGAUUCAACUUGCAUUCUCCUGCCGGUGUAGGAUUUAUUGAUGAAGGGCAGUUCAAGAGGCCUUAGAGAAAAUCACAAUAUAGCAUAUGCAGCUAAGCGGGGCUAAGGGAGGUUGCAAACAAAAUUUGGGUAUUGUGCUGAGCAAUUGGGCGUUAAAAAUCUGGUCAGUGUGCUUUUAUACUUUUGGUCUGUAUUUUGUAUGGAUGACAGUUCUAAUGCUGCUUGAGUUGAAGGUUGAUGAGUUGAAGAUGCAAAGGAGGCGCCAGAGGAGAAGGCAUUGAACUUUGUGUGUGCAAUGUUAGAAAAUCCUUAUGCUGUUCUUCAGGGUUCACGACAUAUGGCUGCAGUUGAUGGAGAAUGCAGUAGUUUCAACAAGUCCAACAUGGUGAUGGAGUAAUAGACUUUUUUCCAUCAGUUUUUGGAGUUAGUGGUAACAUGAAAAGCCAUUUAGCAAGUUUGAGUGUGUGCAAUGGCUUCUCAUUCAGAAGAUAGAAGAUAGAAGAGAAGAAGAGAAGAAACGUCUUCAAGUCACCUUCAAUCUGCCUGAAAAUUGCAUGAAUAGGCUAAUUAGUGAACGCAGUGAACACUAUCCAAGUGUUGGUGCAGUAAGUAUGCUCAACUCUGGAAUGAGCAAUACAGGAUGAUGCACUUCAUAAUUUUUUUUGCCAUCAAUGGAAAAAGAAGCAAGAUCCUUGCUAACUAGCAGAGCAAAGAGUCGGCUGCUUUCAGAGUAUGGACAGGUUUUGUAGGACAAGGUGUCUGCAGGUCCAUAUCAAAAGAAAGAAAUGUACAUUAGCUCCUUAACUCAGAUCAGGAAGCUGCACUACUUCAUGUGUAUUCAGUUUCAGUCAGAAUAUUAGUGAUCAUUGACGAGCUCGACACUACUAUUUUACCGUGACCCGUCAGCUAUAUUAAUUUAAGAAUAUCAUUAAUACUUGGAUUUAUUGAUUCUUCAAUAUGAAAACAGUCAACUUUCAUCUACUUCUAAUUUGUUGGUAGUGCCGUAUGGUCUGUAUUUAAUUUGUGUAACUUAUUUUGAUUUAGAAUUGUUAAAGUUUUAUAAUGAUAACUCCUAGACUUUAUCUACGAUAUUUUCUUUUCCUUCCAUUUUUAAAUAUUAGUUUUCCUACUCUCACAAAAAACCUACUAAAUUUAUUAUAACAUGAUUUUUUAAUUCUAAAAAUUCCCAAAAUUCAAUCCUUAGAAAUAAAAAAUAGAUCAGUUCAUCUGAUUAGAAUACUAAAAACAAUUGAGUACAAAACAAAAAGUGAAAUAAUAAAGACUAGGAUAACAAAAUAUAUCUAAAUUAAAAAAAAUAAGACACAUAAAUGUAUACAUAAAUUCUAUAAAAUUAAAUUAUUAAGUGGACAAUUUCAAUCAAUUAAAAUAAUACAUAUAUUAUAUUCUAAUAAUAAACUGUUAUUCAUUUUUAUAAAAAGAUUAUUCAAAUUAAAAAAAUUAAAAAUUACAUGAAAUAAGCAAGGAAAAAAUAAUAAAAGUAUAAAAUUAAUAUUAUUAAAAAUAAAUUAAAUAAUAAAACCAAUGGGUAGUGUGGACAAAAUCUUAUAUAUACUAGGGGCUGAUUUAGUUUCUCUGGUAUAUGCCACAUAGGCAAACACUAACCAAUAAAAUCAUAAAAAUAAUAUUUUAUGUAUAUAUUAAUAAGAAAGAUUGCACCAUGUACACAAAACAUUCUCUCUAAUUAGGUAAAUAUCCGAAAUUUCAUAUGAUGGUACCUUGAUCGCUAAACACCAAAUUUUACUUAGACCAUCUUCAAUGUAUUAUCCUAUUUUCACAUAUAAAAUAGAGAAACUCUAUAAUAGAUUUGAGAUAUGCUCCAAUGUAUUUCUCUAUAAUAGCAAUCUCUAAAUAUAAAGUAAAAAAUAAAGGAAUACUAUUUUUUCCUCUAUAAAUAGAGGAAAAUAUAGAGAUCUCUAUUAUAAAGAAAAACAUAUAUGUGGGUUGGAGAACUUUCACUUCUAAAUGCUAUUAUAUAGGUGAAAAUACCAAUGUGUUGGAGAUGCUCUUAUAGGUAGAUUGGUAAUAUCCAUGUUUUUUGUAUUAUGAACCUAUUGACUAUUAAUAAAAGAUUAAAGCGAUUAUGUCAAAUUAAUACGUUCGAUUUGUUUUCUAAAUCUAAAUAUCAAUCAAUACAAAUAAAUAAAAUUAUCUUAUAUCUAGAUAAAUAUGUGUUUAGUAAAAACAAUUUUAAUAAGUAACGUGCAAAUAAAAAAACAUUUUUUCAACAAUGUGUAAGCAUCAAAAAAUCACAAAAUGAUGGAGAUCAAAUAAUCUAGAAAUCUAUGAAAAUAUAUUGAAAAUAAUUUUAGUAAUCUAUAAAAAUAUCUGAAUAAAUCACAUUUUAUAUUAACUGAGAGAUAAAAUACAUAAAAAGAUAAAAAAAAAAUGAUUCUUGAACUCAAACGCAGAGUUUACUUUAUGUAUUGUACUCCAUCCGUUUCAUAAAGAAUGCCACUUUGUCAUUUUUCACAUAGAUUAAAAAUAUAACUGAAAUGCAUUUAAGUUCUUAUUAGUUAUACCUAUUCAGCCAAUAGUAUUUUAGAUAAACAGAAUUAUUUAUAAAACUAAUGCAUUUGUAACUAAUAU